ACGCACGCUGGCGGCAUGCCUCACACAUGCCAGUCGAACGAGACCUUCGGGUCUAGUGGCGCACGGGUGCGUAACGCGUGGGAACCUGCCCUUAGGUUCGGAAUAACUCCCCGAAAGGGGUGCUAAUACCGGAUAAUGUCUUCGGACCAAAGAUUUAUCGCCUUUGGAUGGGCCCGCGUUGGAUUAGCUAGUUGGUAGGGUAAAAGCCUACCAAGGCGACGAUCCAUAGCUGGUCUGAGAGGAUGAUCAGCCACACUGGGACUGAGACACGGCCCAGACUCCUACGGGAGGGAGGAGUGGGGAAUAUUGGACAAUGGGCGAAAGCCUGAUCCAGCAAUGCCGCGUGAGUGAUGAAGGCCUUAGGGUUGUAAAGCUCUUUUACCCGGGAUGAUAAUGACAGUACCGGGAGAAUAAGCUCCGGCUAACUCCGUG
rnacentral:rRNA from 1 species